AUUGAACGCUGGCGGCAGGCCUAACACAUGCAAGUCGAACGAGUGGCGGACGGGUUAGUAAUGUCUGGGAAACUGACUGAUGGAGGGGGAUAACUACUGGAAAAGGUAGCUAAUACCGCAUACCAUCAUAUGUGCCCAGAUGGGAUUAGCUAGUAGGUGGGGUAAUGGCUCACCUAGGCGACGAUCCCUAGCUGGUCUGAGAGGAUGACCAGCCACACUGGAACUGAGACACGGUCCAGACUCCUACGGGAGGCAGCAGUGGGGAAUAUUGCACAAUGGGCGCAAGCCUGAUGCAGCCAUGCCGCGUGUGUGAAGAAGGUCUUCGGGUUGUAAAGCACUUUAAGCGAGGAGGCGUUACUAGCAGAAGAAGCACCGGCUAACUCCGUGCCAGCAGCCGCGGUAAUAC
rnacentral:rRNA from 1 species